UUUAUUAAUUAUUAUUAUUAUACUGUUGAAAAUAAGUAAAUGACACAUUGUACAGCACUAUGGCAGUCGAUUGUUCCGGCAAUGAUGUCAGUAGACGAGGAACGGUACGGGGGGGAAACGUUUUGUUUACAUGACUUUGAGGCAACCUGUAUAUUCUAUUAACCUUGGAUUUGACGUACUUACUCGUUUACUUAUCAGUUAUCACUUAUAACCAUGAUUUAAGAUAAUACUGGUUAACAAAAUGUGAUGACCUAACCAUCAAACAGAAUCUCUAAUCUGAAUUAUGUGUUAGAACUGAAUAUUGGUGGUUAACCAACCAAUUUAGAUUUAUGGUGUCAAGCUUGGGAAAACUGGUUGGUAACCAUAAAGUAUACAGAGAAUUGGGGCAAGUUGGAAGAAUAUACCUAGACGAUCAAUAUUACUACCAACAGAGAUUGUACCUACCAUUACGGUCUACGAUAUAUUUGCAGUUGACCAGUACGUUAAUCACUUAAUAACAUAAAAUUGAUGAAUUACAUUAAAAUUGUGACUGAGACACAAAUAUUUUCACUCAUGUGUCCGUCACUGACGAGGAGUGUUGCCAGUGAGCGGCUUCUCCACCAUAUCUUCUGGCUCAAUCAUCAUGGUUAACACUUAUAGAUUAUUAAACAUAACUUGUAUAGAUUGUUUAAUUCAAAUAAAGUACAAAAAAAACUCACGUGGACA